UGUACAUACCCUGUACCACGUCCGGGUUAGCGUCGGCAUCUUGCUGGGUGAGGUUGUAAACCCUGCCCUGAAAAGGAGGUCUUCCUUGGUUCUGGUUCCUUGGGCACUCUCUCGCAUAGUGUUGGGCACUACCACAUAUGCGACAGGUGUUGUUGAGGUGGUAGCAUGGUCGGUCCCCGUGAUCCCUGCCACAGUGCUGGCAGAUCUUUCCACGUGCUACCCCUGGAGCCUGAGGAGGGGCCUGGAUCACUGGUCUAGGCCUCU
rnacentral:lncRNA from 1 species